rnacentral:rRNA from 1 species
GYCAASUCGAACGCUUUUUCUUUWCCSGAGCUUGCUCCUCCGAAAGAAAAAGAGUGCUGUACGGGUGAKUAACACGUGGGUAACCUGCCCAUYASAWGGGGAUAACKCUUGGAAAUGGUGCUAAUACCGUAUAACACUAUUUUCCCCCUGGAASAUAGUUGAAAGGCGCUUUUGCGUCACUGAUGGAUGGACCCGCGAUGCAUUAGC